rnacentral:rRNA from 1 species
GCCCUAGUAACGGCGAGUGAAGCGGCAACAGCUCAAAUUUGAAAUCUGGCCCCCGGGUCCGAGUUGUAAUUUGUAGAGGAUGCUUUUGGUGCGGUACCUUCCGAGUUCCCUGGAACGGGACGCCAUAGAGGGUGAGAGCCCCGUCUGGUUGGACGCCAAUCCUUUGUAAAGCUCCUUCGACGAGUCGAGUAGUUUGGGAAUGCUGCUCUAAAUGGGAGGUAUAUGUCUUCUAAAGCUAAAUAUUGGCCAGAGACCGAUAGCGCACAAGUAGAGUGAUCGAAAGAUGAAAAGCACUUUGAAAAGAGAGUUAAAAAGUACGUGAAAUUGUUGAAAGGGAAGCGCUCAUGACCAGACUUGGGCCCGGUUGAUCAUCCAGGGUUCUCCCUGGUGCACUCUUCCGGCCCAGGCCAGCAUCAGUUCGCUGUGGGGGAUAAAGGCUUCGGGAAUGUGGCUCCUCCGGGAGUGUUAUAGCCCGCUGCGUAAUACCCUGUGGCGGACUGAGGUUCGCGCAUCUGCAAGGAUGCUGGCGUAAUGGUCAUCAGCGACCCGUCUUGAAACACGGACCAAGGAGUCGUCUUCGUAUGCGAGUGUUCGGGUGUUAAACCCCUACGCGGAAUGAAAGUGAACGCAGGUGAGAGCUUCGGCGCAUCAUCGACCGAUCCUGAUGUUCUCGGAUGGAUUUGAGUAAGAGCAUACGGGGCCGGACCCGAAAGAAGGUGAACUAUGCCUGUAUAGGGUGAAGCCAGAGGAAACUCUGGUGGAGGCUCGCAGCGGUUCUGACGUGCAAAUCGAUCGUCAAAUAUGGGCAU